rnacentral:rRNA from 1 species
UACGGGGGGAGCAAGCGUUGUUCGGAUUUACUGGGCGUAAAGGGCGCGUAGGCGGUCGUGACAAGUCACUUGUGAAAUCUCCCGGGCUUAACUCGGAACGGUCAAGUGAUACUGUCGGACUAGAGUACAGAAGGGGCAACUGGAAUUCUCGGUGUAGCGGUGAAAUGCGUAGAUAUCUGGAGGAACACCGGUGGCGAAGGCGGCAUCCUGGACCGGCAUUGAC